AGUCAUAAGUUUUCAAUAGCUGCUGAAGUGAGCGCGGGAUGUCUUCAGCAUUCUUAUAAAUAUCCAAGAGGCAGUCUAUCAGUAUAAAUCUUUGAAGAUUAUAUUGGGGACAGUCAAAGAAAAUGUGAUCAAGAGUUUGGAUGGAUAAAUUACAGAAUUGACAAGUUGGAGAAUCUAAAACACCGAUCCUAAAUAAAUGAGCACAACUACGAGAAUGUCCCAGACGUAACCGACAAAUUGUGGUGUAAAAUUUUCUGUGGACAUUUAAAGAUAGAAGAAUGGAUGAUAAUUGUUCUAAAUCAACUUAUUAUUAUUAAAUGCUCCUACAACAUCCAAAAAAACUCCAGCCAAUAUCUUAUUGUCAAUCUGGGCACUAUGGAUGUCAAGACAUAAAUGCCGUAGACUCUCACAAGCAGAACGACCACAUCGAAAUCCAAAUUGAUUAUUAGAUUACUGUGUGGAGGAAUGUUGGAUGAAAAUGAAGAAGAUUCAGUUUCCGACACUACCAUGGAAAAUUUUGUGAUUGUAGGCAAAUGAUAGCUGCCCAAAGAGUCCUGAUGAACUUGCCAUUCACAGCACAGGAAUAAUGAAGAUGAUACUAUUGUUAGAUCUAGUCCAUUUGGUCUCCAAGAAUUAGUACCCACUGUAGUUGAUUGAUCAUUAUUUAAGAGCAUUAAGUCAUUAUCGUCAAUUACAUCCAUGAUGCCCCUUCCUCUAGAAUUGGUUCUAUUACAACCCCAAAUGGUAUGGUGAGCAUUAAAAUCACCAGCAAUUAUUAGUGGUUUUGGAAUACUAUGCAACAGUCUAUUAAAUUUAGAUUUGUCAAAGUUAGGUACACUGUUGCCAGGACUAUAAAAGCUAACAAUUGAGAUGUCUUUUUGUUUGUAUUUAAUUUUGAU